rnacentral:rRNA from 1 species
UAUUGGACAAUGGGCGCAAGCCUGAUCCAGCAAUACCGCGUGUGUGAAGAAGGCCUUAGGGUUGUAAAGCACUUUCAAUUGGGAGGGAAAACCUGCCGGUCAAUACCCGGUAGCUUGACAUUACCUUUAGAAGAAGCACCGGCUAACUCCGUGCCAGCAGCCGCGGUAAUACGGAGGGUGCGAGCGUUAAUCGGAAUUACUGGGCGUAAAGCGUGCGUAGGCGGUUCGUUAAGUCAGAUGUGAAAGCCCUGGGCUCAACCUGGGAACUGCAUUUAAACUGGCGGACUAGGGUUAGAGGGGGGGGUGAAUUUCAGGUGAGCGGUAAAUGCGAGUUUUUAAGAAACCAGUGGCAGGGGCACUCCCUGGCUAACUGCGCUGAGUGAGAAG